UGUCAUUUUUCCUCUCGUCUUCUUCUUCUUCUCCUCCCCCCCUUGUGUACUUGGUUGAAGCCAUGCAGGUGUGGUUUUCCACUAUUUUCUGUCCAUGGAAUUGCGGCGGUUCGAGGUUGGAGCUCAGUUUUUGUUUUAUUUUUUAUUUUUUUAUUGUUGCGUUCCGGAAAGUUCAACCGCAGCAAGGGAGUGUCGCCGGCUGAAGUGGUGCGGACUGUUGGCGGGUAUUUUUUCCCCGAGACGGAUUGGUGGUUCAGCGCCGGACUCGUCCUUGUUCUCGCGUACUUUGGGUUCCAUCGGUGGGGGUAGUGCGGCGUGAGGCGAUCUUCUCCUAUUCGGUUGCUGCAGUGGUGCUACAGUAUGUUGGACAUUGGGCUUGAGUGCAAGUGGUCAAGGACGACUGGUUAUUUCUUUUCGGGGCAGUGUGACGCUUGAGCGGCGGCUGGUGUCAGUGACGGCGUCGACGGUGGGAUCUUGCUGUGGAAGCUCCACACUAGGCGGAUCAGGUUUUUUUUCCUCCGACUGUGUGUGCUGCGACGAGCGAUUCGACGUCACUGUUGAAUUCGGAGCGCUGUGUCAUUGCGUGGCACUGCUGUAACGUGCCUUCUACGGUGACGGCAAUAACUAAGGCGCCGUUAAAGUGCAGCUGGAGUUCGAGUGGAGUUGUGGUGUUUAACUCUUUUCGUGGUUACCACGAUUCGGUGUCUUGUUUACUCUCGCUAUUCAACUGUGGCGGUGCUGUUUGCGUUGCGAAGUGGCGUGUUUUGUUUUUUCUUUUCCUCUUCCUGGUUGCUUUUGGUUGAUUAUUGUCAACGGGUUGUCUGUCCUAGUGGAGUUGGUUGUUCCUGUCAUUGAAAUCUGCAAGUGGCAAUAAUCAAUUGCAGUGGAUAUAUAUAUAUAUAUAUAUAUUUUCUCCCUUAGUUUUAUUAUUAAAAAUAAAAUAAAAUGAAGAGUUGCUUGGAUGUGUGGCUCUUGUGACACUACCCUUUGUAGCAGCCUCGGUAUAAGUGGGUGUUAGAUUCUUUUUCUCUAUGGCGGCGGUUCAGGUGGAACUCGGAUAUUGGAUUUUGCGGCUGCUUCUAUAUUGCCGUCGGUUCCUGUUUUCCUCCUCAGCACCUUCUCUUCUUCGAGUUGCCGCUCCCUUGCGCUCACCCUCUUCCUCGACUGCUCCUUGAUCGUUGUUGCUGCUGCCUAGGAGCACUUGCCGUUUUCUACUCUUCAGAUCUUUAUUUCUCCUUUUCCAUCAAGUGUGCAUAUCAUCGCUACUGGGUGGUCCGCUUCGACGCAGCCUUUGCCGACGUGAAGUGUGAUGUGAAAUUCUGCUCGUGGCAUUUGGAAGAUGGGUUACAUAACAAAAGUUAUCUUCAUAAUUGUUGCAAGGAUCGAGGAGAACCAUAGCCGAGGAGUAUUCAAAAAUAUUUCGGAGCCUUGUGUGGAUUGCAACUUGUGAGUAUGUCGUGGCUGUUUUUCUUGCAACCAGCCACCUAAUAUCAAGAGAAGGGCAAGGAAAGACAUCACGCUGGACGAGCUGUGGUUGCUGGAUCAGACCUCAUAUUGGAGUACAUUCUCGUGGCCUUUCUUAUCUUAGUGUAGUAUUGAUUUGAUAGGUUGGUAGCAAGGAUGUUUGCACCACCGAUGUAGUACAGUUGGGAGUUAUCCACAAGAUAUGAUCCUGCACUAAGUGGUACUCGAGGGCAAGAAGUGCUGUCCUAUCAAAUCAUCCUACAACAAUUGGGACUUCUUCUGCAUCAAAAAGUCACUUAGUGGGUUAUUCAAAAUCUUGCUCGAUGAAUUCAUGCUAUAUGACGACCUCUUGAUUCAAUUAGGUCAUUCAUAGAUGAAUUAGGCUUUAAAGAUUGGAUUUAUAGAUGAGAAUUGAUUGAA